ACUAGAACCACAUGCAAGAGCUGCCAAUGGGGUAACCUACAAGACCCAUUCUGCCACCCAAACCCACUGAACCCAUCAUCCUCCAUGUGGCCAAACAUUCCCCACAACACCAGCAUCCCCUAGAGGCACCACCUGCAUCAAUUGGAAGAAGAGUUCUUCAAUCAGCCAUUUCUACAAGGAGCCAUGGUUCCUGGUGUUAGAAAUGAAAAUUCAGCUCUGGGAAUGCUCACUAGUCUGGUGCUCUCAACUAAUACAGCAAGAUGAUACCAGUGUACUCUUCUACAUAUCCAAGCAAGUUCACCAACAGAAGUCAGCCACAAAGUCAACCCUACAGGUUUUGUUGGCUCUCAGACACCCAGAACAAAAUCCUCUUAGAGAGAUAAUGCACACAUGGCUCACUGAGAUACAGAAGGCUACUGCUAAAAACUUACCACCCAGACAGCUCUCCAGGAUUGAUGCUCUUUAAGGGCUGGUAGUCAAAGACAGGUAAGAGCUUGUUUGGCAAGCCAGCCUAAGGCAGGCACAAUCCAUUAUGCUGAGCUCUCCUGAGGUGCAGUCAACAAGGUUAGGGUAAUGCACCCUCGCUCCCACUGAGCAUGUCCCAUUAAAUAAUAAAAAGAGGUGGAUAUAUGGGAUGACUCAUCCCUAACAGGCUUGAGGGCCAGCUGAUCCAAACCAGUAAUAAGAUACUUUCUGAGAGCCAACCUGGGUCUACCUAUGAGCCUUAGCAACAGCAGCUAAGACAUGAUCUGGAGAUGACCUGGACCAAUGAAAGGCAGCCAUGUCACACCAGCAGAUGCAUAUUUAUCAGACCUUCCCCCAGGGUGGGGUGGAGGUUAUAUAAUGCUUGCCUCUUCCAGAAUAAACUGAGCUUGUUGUUUCAACAUUC